CUACGCACCCCACAAAAAACUGACUGUAUUAUCUUAUUUCACAGUUUGUGGGUUGGUAGGCACUCCAGAUACCCAAAUGUAUGAGCACAAGAACUGAAAAGUUUUUCAGGAUAUGUCCCCUUUAAGGCAUGUAAACGUGUUCGACAAGAAACGCAAAAUACAAGUAUGAACCUGGAAAAGAGCAUGAUAUGUCCCCUUUAAGGUAGAAAUUGAACCACAGACGGAUGACAACAUGAGAAGAUUUAAGGGUGGAAUAUUCCUUCAAAUUUUAUACCAGGAGCUGGAUUUUGUGUCAAGUAAAUAAUGGCUUAAUUCUGACUCUAUUUGACAUAAAACAAAGCGUUACAUGUACGUUCAGUCUUUGUUCCACCACCGUGAGAAUGUGGCACCUCUGUCCAGACCAGCAGACCACCUGUCCCCGUCCCAGCAGGUCUCCAUGGCUCUGUUAACAUGCUGGCACUCUGGCCACCAGGCACUAUAGGUCUGUAUAGCCUUGUUAUUUACUACUGAAUCCUCAACUCUGUACAGAAGAUGAGAACAUGAUCGCAUGGAACCUUGUUACUGUAAUAAUAACCUAUACAGUAUGUAAUAUUUAAUUUUUUGAUAACUUACAUCAAUGAAACCUACUUACCAACAACACAGACUUGCGAGAAACCUUUUUUUGUUAUUUUUCUUUGAGCACAUGGUAUCUAAGGAUCUCCUCUUUUCUGUUGUUUUGUAGAAUAGAAAGGUUGUUUUCUUCAUUGUUCCCAUUUGGUUUUUACAGUUGCUGGGGUUUUGUGUCUUUUACUGUAGGGGGAAGAAUAUGACGUUAUCAUGUUUAAGAUAGACAAGAAUCAUGCUUACGCUAAUUAAUGGCGAUGAUCAUUUCAGUGAUGGUUAUCUGGUGUGAGAAUGUUCCAAGAAUUUGUGAAUGAACUGUGUCUGGUUUACACUGAGCGAUAAGCAGUGAUGGAUUAUGAAGUUUUAUGACUGUACAUUGAAGGGCUUGGUGUGGACGCAGGCUCUAGAGACCCCGACAAUCCUUUUGGGUCUUCUAGCAUGGUACUCUAAGUCUUCUACCAUCUGUUAAACGAUAACCACCUUUACUAACAGUGAAGGAGUGAUCAGGUUCAUGUGAAUAACACCUGACCAACCGUUCCCUUUUUCUGUCUAUAUAGACGAGUAAACAGUCUCUAGAGCCCGGGUUCCACCUCUGAGAAAUUAAAAGGAUUCUCUGUAUUGCCUUGUUAAUAUUAAUUGUGGACACAUAAUUUUAUAAAUGACAAAGACGUGGAAAUAAAGAUAAUUUAUCUUGUUAUUUAUUCAGAGGUUGUGUUCUUUUUUUAUGUGCUGUUUUAAAUGAGAAAAUGUAACCGUUUUCUUUGGAACUACUUUAUACCAAAGAAAUAGUCCCAAAGAAAACUGUUGACAGGGAGGUUUUGUUGGUUAUUUAUAAUGUCGUUUUUCAAUUCUUUACGGACCCUGAACUAAAUUCCAUUCAGAGGUUUUCAGAGUUGCAUAUUUCAAAACCUGGGAGCAUACGAUAAAAUGAUCUGCAGCUUUCUGACCGUUUUUUCCAGGGUGAGCACAAGAAUACAAAGACCUUGGUCAAAAUGGGUUUUGCAAGUUACAGUUUUUCUCCAUUAUUUUGAUGAGAUGUGUGUGAAAUGAUGUUUUAAAAGGCCUAGUCUGGGGAAUAGGUGAUACAGACACAAACACUUUACAUUUGCAAAACAGCAAGCACAUCCUCCAAAAGGUGUUUUCACAACCAAACAGCUUGUACGGGCGCUGGAUCAGGAAACAAACUGAAGGUAAAAGUCUGGCAACAGAUCUGCACACUGUACUGGUAGAUCCCAGAAAAUUACGUCUCCAUGUGAGGUCUUUGUCAGGCAUUGUCUAAUAAACGUAACAAAGCACAACCAGCAACCUAUAGAUAUAAACACAUCUCUUAGGUGGUUGUAAUCUGCAAGAUUGACAGUCAAUCUACUCUUGGGCUGGACCAAUCCAUGGGGGGGAUUAUGAGACAAUGGGCCCCUGGGUACAGACAUGCAAAAGGCCCCACCACCUCCCCUAAAUAGGAGCAAGACACACCGACUUUAUCGUUGUUGAACCUCUUUUUGCGGUUGUUUUGGUCUUUUUGUAGUUAUUUUUUUGUCCGUGGUUGCUUUGUCCCUCUUUAUAGUUGUUUUGUGUGUCUUUGUAGUCUUUUUUUAGUCUUUUUGUAGUCAUUUAGUGUCUCUUUGUAGCUGCUGGAUGACACUAUCUGGUACUCUCUAUAUACUACUCUCUAUCUGUGGAAGAAAUACAGAAAAAAACAAAUAAAUAUAAUAUACAAGAACAUAUUAAAUAUUUUUAAUUGAUUCAGUAAAAUAUCAUACGUGAAUCACAUAAAUCACUCAAGAUGAUCUUAGAAUCUAGUACAUAGAAAAGUAGAAAAUAAUAUAUUAUAUGUCAAAAGGGGUUAAAUGACCAACGUACAAACUAGCAAUGAGCUAACUUUUGUGUUAAUUCAGAACUAGUCAUAUAAUCAACAAAGUCACAUACUGGUAUUUAAAAGGAAAAUACUGCAACAAAAACUCUUCAUUUAAGAUGUCAGCCGACACAAUGAAACGCAUAAAAUCAUAACUUCAGACCUGCAAACAUGAAGUGCUGAUAAACAGAACUGAAAAAUUAAAUGAACAAACUAUUUAAAGCAGUCUGUUUACUGCUCCAUAUGCUUUCCUUUCAUUUACAUCAGACCACACCAGCUGUAACAUCCUGCCUGCUCAGAAACCCUAGUUAAACUGAGUUGGGUUGGCUUUAUUGCCACUAUAGUAAACAGUAAAAUACACAAGGCACCAUGAAUAUAACAGAUGAGCUAAAAAUAAUAUACCUUUAAAUGCAAGAGGUUUGCAAAUCACAAGUCAAAUAAUUUAAUAAUGGUAAAAUUCAAAAGCAUCUAAUUGCAGCCUAUGCAGUUUAAUAGAUGGAACUAUUUAUUGACUUCAUGUUUGCCAUGGUUCCUAAUUAAAAGUAUCACACACUAUCAGUGGGGUAGAGGUACUACUAAGGGUCGUUGCUACAAUAAAUCGGACCCUGUUAAAGAGGUCCAGAACCGGAUCUAGAACCGGAUCUAGACACUAAAAUGGGAGAGGAUGCAGUUUAAGAUAAUCAGAAAAUACUCAUCCAUGUUGCUAUGUUGGUUGUGUCUUUAUCCUUUACUUUAAAACAAUACAUGAGUACAGAGUAUUAUUCAUCUAAUCUUGUUACCAACCCAACAACUUUAGUAUCAUGCAUUAAAUCAAUGGAGAAGUGCAUUGAACCUUUUGAACCAGCAGGGGGUGAUGUUACACCACCUUGCCUGUACUGUAUGUAUAAAGCUGUAAGGUCCUGUCAGGAGGUUUUAUAUGUACAGUCCCCAUUCCUCUCAAGUAGAACCGGUCGUUUUGUUGUGCAAUGAGGACUAACCCAAUGCCGCCUGUGUCUCCUAUUUUUUUGUGAUUGACAUUUUCCUGAAUUUUGAAAGAUAUAAAGGACAAUAUA